CACCAUGGCAGUGCCAGGGAGAUGACAGGUCCCCAAGAGGGGUGCAUAUCCCCAUGAAGGCCUUGUGUGUCAGCCCCAAAACAGGUUUCAAAUCUGGUUGUGUAUGGAAGAAGCAGUACUGCAGCUCCUUCCUGGUUAUCUGAUAGCCAAAUCCCACCAAACUCUAAAGUGACUUGUCAGAGAUGCACACUGGAGUGGCAGAGCCAAGGGGCCAAAGGAAAGGCAGUUCCUUGUGACAUUAUCUUAAUGUCAGGCUGAAUCUGCUUGUGCUGCCUACAUGGAGCUCUACCCAAAAGGAUAAAGCAAGUUAGCAAAUGUUUGUCAGUCAAUAAAAGUUAUCUUCAAAGAAGCAAGAGAACAACAAUGUGGCUUUGGAAGAUGCCAAGAGGAAGGAAGUUUUCUCCUCUCUUUCCAGGGAAGCACAUCACCGUCCAGCAGCUCCGUCCUGAACUGGAGCAGCACUACACAGUGGAUGAAAAACAUUCCUCCAGGCCUCUGUGGCAAAGAGGAGCAAUUCAACAGAAUUAAACUGGAACUAAACAGGAACUGGAGAAUUAUUUCUGUUUUUGUUUUACCAGCACUGGAGUGGAAUCUGCCCAUAAUUAUGUCCUGUUUACUGACAUGAUCAGGACAAGAUGAACAGGACCCCUUCUCAAACCUGAACAGCUCAUGCAAAAGCUAGGAAGGAUCUCACAUACGAGUACUUCAAACAGCAAUGUCAAAGCUGAACCUCUCAGUUAGCCAGAAGCAGCGGGAAGUGCAAUGGCUGAACAGUGAGGUACAGCCAAAGAUUGUGCUCUCAGGAAUACGCUGCAUUUACUUUUUUCUAUAUGAAGGAAAAGCAGGAUGCGGACAGUGAAGAAUCACAAGAAAUACAUGGUAUCACCUCAGCACAGAGUUUUAACAUAGUACAAACUACUCUGGACUAGUAUUUAAAAAUAAGUCAAUUACAGUAGGACUUGAUUGACACCACCUUGCAGGUUGCUUGUCUAUAGAUCCCAUCACUGAAAGCAGAUUACUUAAACUACUGUAAGG
rnacentral:lncRNA from 1 species